rnacentral:rRNA from 1 species
UACGGAGGGAGCUAGCGUUGUUCGGAAUUACUGGGCGUAAAGCGCGCGUAGGCGGCUUUGUAAGUUAGAGGUGAAAGCCCGGGGCUCAACUCCGGAACUGCCUUUAAGACUGCAUCGCUUGAAUCCGGGAGAGGUGAGUGGAAUUCCGAGUGUAGAGGUGAAAUUCGUAGAUAUUCGGAAGAACACCAGUGGCGAAGGCGGCUCACUGGACCGGUACUGACGCUGAGGUGCGAAAGCGUGGGGAGGCAAACAGG